AAAUUGAAGAGUUUGAUCAUGGCUCAGAUUGAACGCUGGCGGCAGGCCUAACACAUGCAAGUCGAACGGUAACAGGAAGCAGCUUGCUGCUUCGCUGACGAGUGGCGGACGGGUGAGUAAUGUCUGGGAAACUGCCUGAUGGAGGGGGAUAACUACUGGAAACGGUGGCUAAUACCGCAUAACGUCGCAAGACCAAAGAGGGGGACCUUCGGGCCUCUUGCCAUCAGAUGUGCCCAGAUGGGAUUAGCUUGUUGGUGAGGUAACGGCUCACCAAGGCGACGAUCCCUAGCUGGUCUGAGAGGAUGACCAGCCACACUGGAACUGAGACACGGUCCAGACUCCUACGGGAGGCAGCAGUGGGGAAUAUUGCACAAUGGGCGCAAGCCUGAUGCAGCC
rnacentral:rRNA from 1 species